rnacentral:rRNA from 1 species
GACGAACGCUGGCGGCGUGCUUAACACAUGCAAGUCGAACGGAAAGGCCCUGCUUUUGUGGGGUGCUCGAGUGGCGAACGGGUGAGUAACACGUGAGUAACCUGCCCUUGACUUUGGGAUAACUUCAGGAAACUGGGGCUAAUACCGGAUAGGAGCUCCUGCUGCAUGGUGGGGGUUGGAAAUUUUCGGCGGUUGGGGAUGGACUCGCGGCUUAUCAGCUUGUUGGUGGGGUAGUGGCUUACCAAGGCUUUGACGGGUAGCCGGCCUGAGAGGGUGACCGGCCACAUUGGGACUGAGAUACGGCCCAGACUCCUCCGGGAGGCAGCAGUGGGGAAUAUUGCCCAAUGGGCGGAAGCCUGAUGAAGCAACGCCGCGUGCGGGAUGACGGCCUUCGGGUUGUAAACCGCUUUCGCCUGUGACGAAGCGUGAGUGACGGUAAUGGGUAAAGAAGCACCGGCUAACUACGUG